CCCUGGCUCAGGACGAACGCUGGCGGCGUGCCUAAUACAUGCAAGUCGAGCGGAAUGAUGAAGAAGCUUGCUUCUUCUGAUUUUAGCGGCGGACGGGUGAGUAACACGUGGGCAACCUACCUUGUAGAUUGGGAUAACUCCGGGAAACCGGGGCUAAUACCGAAUAAUCCAUUUUGCUUCAUGGCAAGAUGUUGAAAGGCGGCUUCGGCUGUCACUACGAGAUGGGCCCGCGGCGUAUUAGCUAGUUGGUAGGGUAACGGCCUACCAAGGCGACGAUACGUAGCCGACCUGAGAGGGUGAUCGGCCACACUGGGACUGAGACACGGCCCAGACUCCUACGGGAGGCAGCAGUAGGGAAUCUUCCACAAUGGACGAAAGUCUGAUGGAGCAACGCCGCGUGAGUGAAGAAGGUUUUCGGAUCGUAAAACUCUGUUGUAAGGGAAGAACACGUACGAGAGUAACUGCUCGUACCUUGACGGUACCUUAUUAGAAAGCCACGGCUA
rnacentral:rRNA from 1 species